UAAAGAUAAUUAUGAUUGCCAACACAGAAGAAGAAGGAAGACACAAAAAAAAAGACAAAAAGCAAACCAAAGAGACGUACUUGAAGUUGCCACACAGAGCAUAAUCAUUCAUGCAGCAGGCUGUUGUAUUUGUAUCUGUGAGAUACGCAGCUCACAAAUGAUUAUGAUAAAAAGCAGCAGCCGCAAAAAAAUAAAAUGUAAAAAAAAAACUACAAGAACAUCAUCGGAACAGCAUAAGCAUAUAAAUUGAAUCGAAAAUAAACGCACAAAGAAGCGAGAGACAGGAGACUCUCCACAUGAACCGAUGAACUGGCGCUGAUAACAGCCAAAAAAAAAAACCAAAGCGAGGCUAAGGCCAAGACAACACACACACACAUACAGACGAACACACUCCAAUUUAGCCGGUCAAAGAAAUUAAGAAAAAUCAAACAGGUUUCUGCCACACAGCCACAAAUUUUCCCGAAGCUGCUUCAAAGACAGCCGCAUUACCACAAAGAACACAAGCAACAUUGGGGCACACACACCACAGAAAUGAAAACCUCGAAGGAAGCACGAGAAGCAGUGAAGAGCUGAGAUUUUUCCCAGCGAACCAAACAGCAACAAUAUAAUGACAACCCCCAGUACCACAAAGAGCAGCCCCUCUAGUCAACCCCUGGCAAUAACCCAACAAAAACCGCAGAUAAAUCAAAGUGCCAACAAAAUUACAACGCAAGCACUUUACAAGCGAGCGUGCUCGACACUGGAAUACUCGCUAGCAAUAUGAAAACAAAACUGAUUGGAAAGGAAAUAAGAAAUAGAAGGAAGUAGCAGAGAAUUAAAAGUUGUCUGUAAAUUAAAAAAAAAUCUGUAAAGAAUUGUAUUUCAUUGAAAUUUUUAAUUGAUGGAUUAAAUAAUGAAUUUACAUUUAAAAUGAAAACUGGAAAUGUAAUAAUAAUAUUAAUA